UGAGUACGAGCUGCUACGGCAGCGAAGUGGGUGAUGUCAAGCUUCCAAGAAAAGCCCUAUACCCGUUAAGGCAUGACGGCCUGUACCCGAAACCGACACAGGUGGGGUGGUAGAGAAUACCGAGGGGCGCGAGAUAACUCUCUCUAAGGAACUCGGCAAAAUGGCCCCGUAACUUCGGGAUAAGGGGUGCCACCGCAAGGUGGUCGCAGUGAAGAGGCCCAGGCGACUGUUUACCAAAAACACAGGUCUCCGCUAAGUCGCAAGACGAUGUAUGGGGGCUGACGCCUGCCCAGUGCCGGAAGGUUAAGGAAGCUGGUCAGCGCAAGCGAAGCUAGCGACUGAAGCCCCGGUGAACGGCGGCCGUAACUAUAACGGUCCUAAGGUAGCGAAAUUCCUUGUCGGGUAAGUUCCGACCCGCACGAAAGGCGUAACGAUCUGGGCGCUGUCUCGGAGAGAGGCUCGGCGAAAUAGAAUUGUCUGUGAAGAUGCGGACUACGUGCACCCGGACAGAAAGACCCUAUGAAGCUUUACUGUAGCUUGGUAUUGUGCUCGGGCUCUGAAUGCGCAGGAUAGGUGGGAGGCUAUGAACCAUUGCUUGCGGGUGAUGGUGAGCCAACGGUGAGAUACCACUCUUUCAGAGCUAGGGUUCUAACGGUCACCCGUUAUCCGGGGACCGGACAGUAUCAGGUGGGCAUUUUGACUGGGGCGGUCGCCUCCUAAAAGGUAACGGAGGCGCGCAAAGGUUCCCUCAGGCUGGUUGGAAAUCAGCCGACGAGUGUAAAGGCAGAAGGGAGCUUGACUGUGAGACCUACAAGUCGAACAGGGACGAAAGUCGGCCUUAGUGAUCCGACGGUUCUGAGUGGAAGGGCCGUCGCUCAACGGAUAAAAGUUACUCUAGGAUAACAGGCUGAUCUCCCCCAAGAGUUCACAUCGACGGGGAGGUUUGGCACCUCGAUGUCGGCUCAUCGCAACCUGGGGCUGAAGUCGGUCCCAAGGGUUGGGCUGUUCGCCCAUUAAAGCGGUACGCGAGCUGGGUUCAGAACGUCGUGAGACAGUUCGGUCCAUAUCCGGUGCAUGCGCAGGAACAUUGAGAGGAUUUCUCCCUAGUACGAGAGGACCGGGAGGAACGCACCUCUGGUGUACCAGUUAUCGUGCCAACGGUAAACGCUGGGUAGCCAUGUGCGGAGCGGAUAACCGCUGAAAGCAUCUAAGUGGGAAGCCCACCUCAAGAUGAGUGUUCCCAUGGCAAAAGCCAGUAAGGUCACGGGCAGAACACCCGUUGAUAGGCUCUACGUGGAAGCGCAGCAAUGCGUGAAGCGGAGGAGUACUAAUAGACCGAGGGCUUGACC
rnacentral:rRNA from 1 species